AAUGAACGCUGGCGGUAUGCCUAACACAUGCAAGUCGAACGGCAGCACAGGAAGAGCUUGCGCUUACGGGUGGCGAGUGGCGGACGGGGGAGUAAGACAUCGGAAUCUACUUUUUCGGGGGGGAUAACGUAGGGAAACGUACUCUAAUACAGCAUACGACCUACGUGUGAAAGCAGGGGAUCUUCUGACCUUGCGCGAUUGAAUGAGCCGAUGUCGGAUUAGCUCGUUGGCGGGGUAAAGGGCCACCAAGGCGACGAUCCGUAGCUGGUCUGAGAGGAUGAUCCGCCACCCUGCAAAUGAGAUACGGACCAGAACCCUAAGGGAGGCAGCAGUGGGGAACAUUGGAGAAUGAGCGGAAGCCUGUUCCAGCCAUACCGCGUGAGUGAAGAACGCCUUCGGGUUGUAAAGCCCUUUUGUUGGGAAAGAAAAGAAGCAGGUUACCACCCAGCUGUUCGGACGGAACCCAAAGAAUAAGCCCCGGCUACUUUCGG
rnacentral:rRNA from 1 species